ensembl:snoRNA
AUCCUUUUCCAGUUCGUGGGCAUGAUAAUUGGUGUUUACACAUUUGUUUGUCAUGUGCCUCCCUUAAACCUUGUUAUGCACUUGGCACAUUACCCAUCUGAUG